UAUCCACUAAAUAAUUCAUUAUAGAAAAGUGGGAUUCUUAUUUUAAAGAACAGAAAUUUGUAUCUCCAGAACACACUCUUAAGGGAAAAAAUUUCGAGAAUUUAAAGAAAAUAUGGUCUUUAAGUAUAUCUGAGAAGUCCAAAAAUCAGAUUUUUAAUUACUGCAUUACUGCAUUAUCGAAGACAAAAAAAGGGCAAACACAAUAUUCGAAAUAGUGUACAAUAAAAACGAUCAACAGGGGACACGGUACAGUCGUUGGAUUACAAUUGGAUUACCUCAUCGCAGUUCCGGGUUUUGUGCAGCAACGUUUCACCAACCAACCGAUCAGCUCACG